rnacentral:tRNA from 3 species
GCCGCUAUGGUGAAAUUGGUAGACACGCUGCUCUUAGGAAGCAGUGCUAAUGCAUCUCGGUUCGAAUCCGAGUAGCGG